rnacentral:ribozyme from 1 species
UGUCCAGUAACUCCUAUCCCUACCUCCUCGUGGUGCCGCCUGAAACACGAGUAACCGUAGGGAAGAUCGGGUAGCCAACCCUGAUGCCGUAUGCUGACAGGGAAGG